GGUGGCUGGUGGGGAGUGUGGGAUGAUGCCAAGGUGGUGAUGGUGGGGCAGCCGUGGCAGCUAGUGUGGAGGCGGGGAAAAAGAGCCUGGUGUCGUAGGGAGGUCCAGGCACUUGGUGUCAUGAGGCUGGAGGUGGGUCAGGGCCACGUGGUCGAGAGCUAAGUGCCUCUAAAGAGCAUCAGUUUUCCCCAGUAUGCAGUGGGGACACCGUAAAGGGGUUCCAGGAGGUAGGCACGUGCCCAGGGUUUUAUUCUGGAGAAAUCAUUCUGGGAGCAGGAUUGUGUUGAGAAGGACAGUGUUGGGAGGGGCAGGAGCAGCUGUAAUUGUCAGGAUGAGAGAAACCGAGUGUCUGAAUGGAAGCAGGAGCUGCGGGUGGAGAGGAGGGAGAUGUCGGAGAGAAGACAGCACACUCUUCUUUUCUAAGUGAUCGGUCAGCUCCUCACCUGGUGCCGGCGGCCUGAGCACCUGUAGUACACGUAACCCAAUGAGCAAGUAACGGCAAAAUGUUACCUCUCGCUGUUUAGUGCUCUUAAUGUUCAUGAGUUAAUCGCUAAAAAUAUACGUAUAACACAUUCCCUACCCUCCACAAACUUGUGUUGCAGGAUGUUGUAGCAGGUCCUAAAAUACACAGACCCACAGACUGAAGAAUACUGUCCUCAGUCUGUGAAAGGCAAGCAUCGAUUGGAUUGGAUCAAGAUGGGGAGGGUUGGGAAAGGACAUUUCCUGCAAACAUCCACUUAAGGUGUGUAGAGUGGUGAAUUAAUUUCACUGCUCUACCUAGUAAGUGUAUGCAGGUGCGUGGGGAGGGGGGCAGCAGUGGGAGGCGGGAUGGGAAGGAAGAGACUGUGAGGGGGGGCCACAAGAGGGACUUUGCAAGAAACCCCUCCCAAUCGUCUUCCUCCCCCUCUUGGGGUCUAUCUGGGUGCUGUGGUUCCUGGGCUUCCUAAUGCCCCACCCAGCAGGCAGUGUGCUGACAGGCAGAGGGCAGGCCGGCAGAGGCAUCUCUGGCCCUGAGGGCAGCGCCCGCCGUCUGAGCUUCCAUGGUCUGGUUAUUAGCAAAACCUCAACUCCUUUCCAGAGCUCCAGUGCUCCCUGCCAUGCCCAGGCAUAACCAGUACAGUGUCACAAUAGCCACCCUUUACAAACAUCCUUGGGACUCGAAACAUUGUCAGGCACAAAGAAAAGUAUGGCUUCACUCUCUGAACCGUUGUUUCCUCUUCAGGGGAAGGAGCGGUGGAGGUUGUAGUGGCUGGAUAUCAUUUCAGAAGAACCUGUCAUUUUUCCAGGAGAAGAGACUGUAAGAGGAAAGUCCUGGAGGGUGCGUAGGAUGUCACUCAUUUAGUGGGAUAAAAGCCAGUCUGCAUGAGAAACCGCGCAUUCUGAGCACUGCAGGGGCAGUGCUGGAUUUGUUCAAGGCUGAGAAAGGAUGCCUUAUCCUGGCGAUGCGGUUCACGGCAGGGCGAGCGGCAGUGACGGGGUACUGAGCACACACCUGGGAGCGUGAGAUGAGCGACCCUCACUGGCCAACUGAUCCAUCCCACCAGACUGCAGCCUCAGUUUCUCGGCUUGUAAAAGUUAUAUGAUACUUGCUUUAGAAUAAACUCAUGGGAUGUAGAAUUCAAAAUGAUAAAUAUUUUUAUCAAGUUUCUCCCGACCCCCUAACUUUUAGGGAUUUACUUCUCCCCUUGAAAGCCAGAAAUAGUGGGAGAAACAAGAGAUGUGACUCUAAUAUUACUUGUCUUUACCAACAAUGUUAAUUUCUCUCUAAGGAGCUGGGCAAGUUACAUUGUAUUUGAUUCCUGACUACUGUCUCUAAACCGAGGAUUCAAAUUGUUAGACUCAAUUCAUGACCUUGUUGGAAAUUUCCAGCCAACCCACUGCUCAAUCACCUUAACUAGGAGAAAAUAUUUUAUGAUAUAGUGGAAACAAAUGAUAACAGUGUUGAGAGGGACAAGCUUAACACAGAAUCCAGACUUCACACGUUCACGUGGGGGAGAUAGAAGUCGCGGAGUAGGCUGAUUUCUGAUGACAACCUGAUUUAAUUUGCAAUAUGACUGCAUCAGUGGCUGCUCAAAAAGCUGUUUCCAACAUUUUGCAUCAAUAUAGCAGCUCUGGGAUCCUGAAGAAAUUUGUAUUUGCUGUCUAAGACCGGAAGGGUGGAGGAAUACAGGUACCCCUAAGCUAAGUAUAUUCGUGAUGAAAGACGAAUAGGUUCAUUACAGUGUUGUUUGUAAUAGGAAAAAUUGGAAACAAUUUAAAUAUGUAAAAUAAUUAAACAAUGAUACAUUCCUUUAUUCAGAUGCUGUAUGAUAUUUAAAAAUUGAGGAAGAUUGAGGUAUUGACUCAAUGAAAAAUGUCCAUGUGGUAGGAAAUGGGAAUAAUUACAGAAUGAUAUGCAAAUCAUAAUUCCGUCUUGGUAAGAACAAACAAGUCAAUCUAUGUAUACGCUGGAUGUUAGUCCAGGGACUCAGACACACAUACGCCUCCUGCAGGCUGGCAGUGUGGGGCGUGCACAUGUGCAGGGACGGGUGAAUUACCAGGGGAGUGGAACAUGAAGAGGCAGGUGGUACACAUCUUCCCUUUCAGACCACUGGAGUAAUUAUAUAUGUAUUUUAAAACAAUAGACAUCUUAUACUUUUGUAAUAAAAAAGAAACAUUACCAACACAAUAGAUGUGUUUCAUCAAAUUAAAUGUGUUAUACUUUAAAACCAGCAUCAAGUUAAGACAUUUUACUUAAGGCUGCUGUGAAAACGUAUGUGUUUCUGAGUCAGGCCGGCGAGCCUAGCCGUUAGGACUUGAUGCUUUUAAGGUCUUUGUGCUCUUGCCCCAACUACUGUGUUCAUUUAAGAGAGUAUACGUCAGCCUUCUAUCUGAGCAGUCCAGCGAUUGAAGCAGUGUAUUUUAGCACUCCAGAAUAACUGUCAUUAGGCGAUCAGUAACUAGCAGCCUAUUACAUUCUAAGCAUGUUUCAAUGCCUGGUGUAAAUGUUUUGACAAUAGCCUCUGUGCACUAAUAACAUUGUGCAUAACAAAGAAUAACAGGUGCAGCCAAAAGGGAGGCAAGUUCCUCCAGGAUGUGUUUUCAAUCUAUCAUGUGUGCCUUGACUUUUCUAAAUGUGUGAAAAUAAUUAUUAUUGCCACUGUGGUGUAAUUGGUCUCUAUGGACAACCUAUGGCGGUGAAAACCUUUGGAAUAAAGUGAGAAAUCUACCCAGAUGAGUUCAGAAGUCUGUCAAGAAGCACUCUAGUCAAAGCCUGCCCUUCUGGGGGGCCACCCUCUUUCAUCCUGAAGUGAUCCUUCCAUGGUCUUUGUGGGCACGUUAUUAGUGGGUAGGAAAAGGUAAGGAGUGUGAUGGGAAAACAAGAGGCAGGUUUUCCCUUUCAAUGAUCAUAGGCCAGCAAGCCCUCGGAUCGACCCCGUACCCACGCCGACGGAGGAGAAGUGGACACGUGCUCAGUUAGAGAAGAGAACGGCACCUGCAGUCACCUGGGGCCAGAGGAUGUGGCAGACGCAUUUCAGCAGGUCGAUUUUUUUUCCUUUUAAUGCAUAUAUUUGGAAAUCCAGUCUAAAGUGCAUUGAGCUUGGAAGAGAAGGGUGGAAUGCCUUUCCCAUCAUCAUAGUCAUUUGGAAAUCGAGGAAGGUGGAUUUUUCCUCCCAGAAUUGGUAGAGUUGCAAUUUCUGUUAGGAUAUGCAAACCAAACCCAUAUAUUUCAUGCUAUUCUCAUCAAGUGCAGUCAGCCUAAAAGUAGAAUUUAAAGAAAACUCAAGGCCGAUUCAAAAAGGUACAAUCGAAGUCCUUUUUAGCUAUCUCGGCACUGAAAUCAUGGACAGGAAGAAGAAUAUGUCUCUAUCAUUAAAUGGAAUAAAAAUUCUUAGAAAACUAAUUCGUUAAUAAUGUGAGUGGCUGCAGAGAAAAAAACUAAUCCAAAUUCAUUCACCCAACAUAAAAUAAAAUACACUGGUUCUCCUCCUCCAUUUUUGAGCUUGCUAGUUUGGGGAGGUUCAUUUUACAUAGUUUUAUGAACAUAAGAUAAAUGUAGCUUUCUGAUUAGAUACAAGCUUAUGGGUCUCUCUCUGUCUCUGUCUCUGUCUCUGUCUCUCUCCUUCUUGGUAUAAGUCACUUCAUCUCAGUUACUCUAACAAGAAUUUUUAGUCUUUGCAAACCCUAGUUUUUAAAUCUGUGUCUGAAACCAAGUAGAGUGCUGGCACUUUAAAAAUCCUCAUUGACUGAAUCUUCUCCCCUAUGUAAUUCUGGUUCAUCUACACUGGAGAGUGCCAGGCAAGUUCUUCGACUCUAGCAUCUCCUUCAUGCAUUGAAUCCUCUGGUAUAAUAGACAUGAAUGCUCUAUUGCGUGGCUGUAAUUACUGGGUUUGCGGGCUCUGACUCCUUAGACUGUUUAAAAAAAUUUAAAAGUGUAACACAUUUUGCUGCAGAAAAUACCCCCAUAUGUUUCUCCUGGCUGUUGCGUUAUGAAUUCUUAGCUCUGACUUAGAUCACUCUCACUCUUUGGAAUUCCUGUAUCAUUGAUGCAAGAAGAGUAGUGGAAAGUCAAACAAGAUAAAAUGACAGAUGAAGGAUUAAUGGUGACUGAGGACACAGCACUAUACAGAGUAAGGGUUCAAUUCAUAUUGAAUAAAUGGAAAGAAGUAUUCAGGGUUUUGGACUCCAGUCCUGUGGGGUGUGCACUUAAUUGUACUCGGUUUAGUGAGGCUUGAAGGGAAAUCAAGUUUCUUUUUCAGGGAGCUAGUUCAGGGGAACUAAUCAUUUCUGCAGAAAAGAGAGCAGAGACGCCUACUCUGACUGCAGGUGACAUCUCUCUGGACACGUUCUCAGAAACCCUGCACCAGGAAUUGAGUUGUCUUGGAUUCCGACGUGCCUGGUCUGACUCAUGGAAAAUAAUCUAUAAAUUCUACCUUGCUACUGAGCAUCGGAAGUUUGAUUCUAUGUGUCAAUUUCUGUAAGUAUUACUUCUAGAAACACAGAAAUGAAUUAUUUAAUACAUCUGUAGCACAAGUCCUUGGAGAGGAAGCAAGAAUUCAGCAGUUGAACCCAAUUAAAAUUCUUUCAGGAAGCAAAUUCAAACUCCCUUUUGGGUUCAUGAACAAACCACAGAAUAAAAUGUUUCGAAGGCUGACUCACAUGUGUUCUUUAGUGAUUGUAACAACAUUUCCUCUCUGCAGAUUUGAAAAAAUGACUUUCUUGGGUUUGAUCAGUGGAACCCUUGAGUCCUUACUGUGCCAGGCACCACAUUGGGUUCAGGGACACAAAGGUGGAUAAGAAGGUCUCUGCCUGUGAGCUUACCCAUAUGGCAGGGUUACUAUUAAUGAAUUUCAACAAUUUAAGAUAAAUCUAUUAACAAAAUACUAUGUUCCAGCAAGUGAAUGCUUACAAAAUGAGGAUGACAUAGGCAUUUUCCCCAAGGUGUUUAAUAUCAAAAGAGAGAAACAGACUCCUGAAUAUCUGAUCACAGCACAAUAUAAUUCAUGCUACAAUUGAGAUCAAAUUGCUAGAAGGUGAAAGAAAAUCAUUCAUCUUAAAUUUACAGAAAUUUUCCAUUUUCAAAAUCAAGAUUCCUUCCUAGUCCAGCAUAUGUAAAAGUUUUGGAUAAAGUAUUUAUUUUUAAAAAAUGUUCUUUUAAUGUAAUUUUUACUGGCAAGAAAAUAUAGGUAUUCCUUGAAGACCAGAAACACAUCUACAGGAGGUACAGAAGCUGACUUUUGUGGAAUUAUUGGCACAAAACUUACAUUUUUAAACACACAUGGGGCAUUUCUGGAAAUUGGUUGGGUAUUUUUGGCCUUAAAGAAGCUCUCAAGACUUUUUGAAAGACUAGUAACAUAUCUAUCACAUUUUCUUACUGUAAUGCAAUAAAUAGAUCACUGAAAAUGUUCUAUACAUUCAGAAAGUUCAGAACAUACUUCCAAAUCAGUCAAAGAAAGAUUAAUAGAAACCAGGAAAAUCUUAGAAAUAAAUAAUGACCAAAAUGUAUAUGUAAAAACUUGUGAGAUGUAGCUAAGACUUUGCUGAGAGGUAAAUCUAUAGACUUAAAUGUUUAUAUUAAAGAAGAAGAAAUUAAAAAAUUGAGCUAAGCAUCCAAUGUAAGAAAUCAGAGGGAAAAACAGGCUCACUGAAUAACCCAAAGAAAAUUGAAGGACAGAAAUUGAUGACGUAGAAAUCAAAGAUAUAAAUGAGAACAUCACUUUGUUUUUAAAAGAGUAAUAAAAAUGGCAACUUCUGUCAGGGUUUAUCGAGAAAAAAGAACAGAGAAGUCACAAACAAUAUGAGCAAUUUAAAAAGAGACUAUUUGUAGCACUCCAAGAAUAGAUAAAUGAGAGAAAACAAGUUUAUGCCAAUAAAUUUAAAAACUUAUAAAAAAUAGAUGUGCUCCUAGGAAAAUAAAAAUUAUCAGAACUGACUCAAAAAAUAAAACCUGAUUUGUGUCAUAACCAUUAAAGGAAUUGAAUUAAAAAUUUAACAUCUUUCUGUGAGCAAAAUCCUGGGCCCAGAUUGUUCAAGGUAUUGGUAAUUCCAUUUUUAAACACCUUCAGAGAAUAAGAAAAGAUGGAGCACUCGUCAACUCAUUUAAUGUCUAUUGUAACUUUGAUACCAAAACCAGAUAAGGACAGCAGGAGAAAAGAAAAUUAUUUAAAGAAAUUCUUAAAAAUAGAGGGAAAAUGCUGAGGCAAAAUACAGGCAAACAAAAUUUAACCAUGGUUUAGAAAAAAAUCCCCACCAAGCUAAUUAACCUAAGGCCAAGUUAGUUAGCAGGUUAAAGGGUGUGGGACGUGGGAGCAGAGAUGGUCAUCACCAUGGUCAUAGGAAAAACAUGAUAAAAUCACACACCCAUUCAUGGUUUAACAAGAGAGCAAACAAAACUUCUUGCAAUAGGAAGAUGGUCACACCUUAACCGGAAACAAGUGAAUCCAAAAAAUUUUGUUUAUUUUCUCAGAGAUCUGAUAGCUAACCAAAAAAUGAACUCUCUUCCUUAAUAAGAAGAUGAGGAAAGUUUGUUAAUAUUUAAACCAUUUUUUGCCCUGUUACGUACAUAAAGAUGUGUGUGUAUUUAUAGAAAUAUAAAUAUCUACAAUUGCAGAGAGCUUUACUCUAUAGAAGUUGAGAAUGCAAAAUCUGGAGGAAGACUGCUCAAUUAAAUCCUGGGAUUGUGUGAUUUGGGGCAAAUUUCCUAACCACCCUGUGCCUCAGUUUUCUCACCUGUAAGAUGGGUAAGGAAAAUACCUUACUGGAUUGUUGUGAGGGUUAGCUGAGUAAAUAUGUGUGAAGCAGGCGGGAAAAUGCCUUGCAGAUUAUAAGCACUUAAUUGGUAUUAAUGGCUAUGGUUAGUUUUCUUUUGUACCAAAAUUUUAACAUCAUGAUCUCUGGGCAGAAGAUUAAUGGGUGGUUUUUAAGUUCUUCUUUAUAUUUUUCCUGCAUUUUCCAAAUUUUCUACAAUAUUUUGCUUUUAUGGGAAGAGCUACUUAAAAUGCGAACAUGCACACUCACACUGCUCACAUACACCCUAGCAAAAGCUGAAGCCCUGUGAUCUGAGUUGGCUCAUCCGCUUCCCUGGGAGCUGAUGGCAGAGCAUCACUCUGAGAGCCCUGCUGGGUCCCCCUCUGCCUGCUGUCUCUGCUAGGCAGGGCAGAUGGAGCGUGGACUCUAACCACAGGUUAGCACCCCAUAGCUGUCCACUGGGAGCAAGAGCGACUCCAGAGGCAAAGGAAAGGCUCUUUCCAAUCCUGUUAGACAAAGAUGCAUCAGGAUCAGUCAUGGAACUUCCUGCCCAAGGAUGUUCAGACUCUGCCCUGAGACUGUGAGCUGGCGGGUCAGAGAAGGGCUUACAGCUUGUGAGGCUGACAGGCGCCUGUGCUGCCAACAACGGCUUUCUUCUGGUUUCCCUCAGCCUUUUCCCACAUCCUGACACAGGCAGCCCUGGGCUGGUGGGUUUUAAUGCUAUGCAACACUUCCCAAUUAAUUUUAAAUAUUCAGAUCACGCCCACUCAUUCAUUCAAAACAGUCUAUGGUCCAAUUGUUCAGGAAAUGUUCUAGAUUAGAAAAAGGAGACACAAAGUGGAAACUAACAAUGUUCCUCAUUCUCAGAAGUUUAAAUUUUCAUAUAGGAAGACAGAAAAUUAACAAGCAAACACGUGAGAUAAUUGCAGAGUGUAAUAAGCGCCCUUCGAAGAGGAAAUAAAUAGGAUGAUGUGACAGAGUGAUGGGAGAGGCGCUUCACACAGGUGGACAGGGACAGCUCUCCCGAGCAGGUGAGACUGCGAUGCAGACUUAGAGGUGAGAGGGCGGGUCAUGCUCAGAGUGGAAGGGAACGUUUUCCAGGCAGAAGCAACGGCCAGCGCUCUGCAACAGGAAAGAGCUAGGCAUGUUAAGUGCCUGGAACAUAACUUGUAAGUGGUAGAGUGACAUGAAGAAGACACUGCAGAAGCAGAUGCUUAGGGACCUGUCGUCCAGGACAGGGAGUUUGGUUUUAUUCCAAGUGCUGUAGAAAACCACAGAAGGCUUUUAAAUGGGAUAGAGUAGAGGGGGCAUAAGAAGCUGAUGUUUUCAAAGAUUCCUCUGGCUUAUGUAUGGAUGUUGAUGGGUGCAGAACAACGGCAGGAGAUGGAAAACGAGCGGAGGCUAUCGCAACAACCUAGGCGAGAGACGAGGGCAGCUGGACUUGGGGUAGCAGGGGACGUGGUGAAAGGCGGACCAACUUGGGGUCUCUUUGGAGAUAGAAGGCAGCUAGGACUUUUGUGGCAGAUUCAUGGGUUCUGAUUGGCCAUGUGGAUCAGGCCAUUGGGUCAAAAAUCACUGCAGUGCCUUCUUCCCGUGAAGGUAAAUGGCAAGAAUGCUGACUAAUCUCACAGUUCAAAAUACAAGUUCCGCUUGUGCUUUGGACCCUUAGAAUGGUAUACUGUGGCGAUUGUAAAUACCCUACUGCCUUCAACGGGUGAGAUGCUGUUUAUGCCCAGGGAUCGUUUUUCAGCUGUUGACUUCCAUAUUCUGGGCAACACUCAGGGCUCACCUGACUCCCCUCCUGUGUCUAGGCUUCUCAGUCCCAACAGGUCUCUCGAGAUGCAGAGCAGGCCCAGAGUCUAUGGGGCAUCUGUGGCAUGACUUGGCUGCUCGCUGCGCAGAGGAAGCGUCAAGCAGUCCCAGCCUCACCUGAACCUUUGGGACCUCCCCCUUGUGAGGCCCAGAGUUCAUCUGCUUCUCCGAGGUGUUUCCUGAACCACAGCCAACCUGAGUCCAGCUACCAGUUACUGAACAGCUGCUACCUUGAGAGGGACUGACCGACAUCGAGGACCGGGACUCCAGAACCCUGCUUUUGACCGGGAGACCUCCCAACUGGGAGCUCAAAUAAAUACGAGUGUGUUCGUUCUCAAUACUGGAACCCGUGAGCCAAGCUGCAUUUUACGUCUGCAUCCUCUACCCCCUGUUACAGGAGCCUGUUGCCUUUAACGAACCUGAGUCAGUCUAGCGAGGAGAACUGCUCGCCAGGGCUAAUUAUCAUCGCGGCGAUGUGAGUAAAUGAAGGAAAGUGAGUCAUGCACUAGGGCGGUUUUAUGACGGCUGUGAGGGAAGGCAAAUCAAAUGUACGCAUCUAAACUGCAGGGACCUGCGAGCGGCUGAAUCAUACGUCCGAGUGAAUAUGAGUUUUAUGGCGUGCGCCUGGAGAUCCUUAACAUAAUUGUCCUGCUGCUUUGGUCAGGCUGUUCUCUGCCCGGAGGCCCAGUGGUGACCUCUCCAAACACGUCAAGUGGAGCCCUGAACUCUUCAAAUGGAGGCCACCCAUCUUGGGAAGAAAGACAACAGAAAAGAAAGAAAGAGAGUGGCGAAGUCAUAUUUCCACUGCAGAGUUGCCUGAAGAGCUCGCUCCCUUCCUGCCCUGGCUCUGUUCCCGUCAGUGCAUCCCUUGUAGCGAGUCUUAGCUCAGCAGCCUUCACGGGGUGGCCUACAGGGCAAUGAAGUGACCCAAGAAAGAGGAUGGCAUUUCUCCAACCCCCUCACCACCUGUGUGUGUUCACCAGGGAGGUGUUCUUGCCGUCUGGUCCCAGAUGUCCUAAUGCCUCCUUCGCGUAUGGGUUUGUUCAUUAAUUUAGUUAAUGAUUUGAUUUCUAAGUCUGCCCAGGCACUCUUGGAAAUGUCCUGUAGGAUAUAGACAUGAAUCAGCAUGAACUCUGUUCUCAGGAAGCCUGCAGGGUAGGAGAGAAGGUUGGGCGUGUGCCACUGAAGCCUUCACACAGCUAAGGGGCUGUAGGUGGGCUUCCAGCGUGGGCUCUGGACCGCCUCGGCAUGACCCCUGCUCCCCAGCGGCAGAGUUAUUUGCUACUCGCAUCCAUAAAAUGUGGAUGAUAAUAGUUCCCACCCACUGGAUUGUUUUGAGGAAAGCACCUGGCACAGUGUUGGUGGUCACUAAGUGUUACCUCACAGUUUCCUCCACAAAUAAGCGGCAAGUAUCCUAACUGAGAAACCACUGACGUGCUCUGAGGUUCAGAGGCAGAUGUGUCCUGGGGCCUGGAGAGGCUCACGACGCAGGCAGUCUUUGGGCCAGGCCUGGACGGCUCAGCUGAGCUCUCUCUGCGAUGCCCAUCGGAGUCGGUGCUCCCAGCGUUAGAGAAGCAGGACUUUGCCCCAUUUCUCUGUGCGGAUCUAUGGGCGUUUAAUACACAACUGGCUCUUUAAACAUGUUUUCUGGGGACACUGAGGAAAAGGAUGAUUUCUUACAUAAGGGUUAGUUGUUUGUUUUUCAGCUAAUCAAGCCACUCUUCACUUGACUUUGAGGAAGUUUCUUCACCUCUCUGAGACUCUGUUUAUCCUUUUGGAGUAGAGAAGGCCUAUACUCAGUAAGCAUUGUGGCUUUUUUAAACCAGCUCUGAACUAUGGUGAUUAUUAACAAUAUUGCUGUGAGUUUUAGCCUUGCACAUCAUUCACGUGGUUUACAAAGAGUUGACUACAAAUUGUGUGGAACUUGGGCCUGUGUUUGUGUGACUGAUUUCUCUCCGAAGUUUUAUGUUAUAAAAUCGUGAACGGAGCUUUCCAAAACCAUGACUGCCAAAUAUUCUAUUUGACCAACAACACUUAAAGUGUUUAUGUCCAUAUUGACAAAUUCUAUCCUUAUCUACCCACCCACCCUCUGUCUGUCUACUUCUUCUCAUUUCACCUAGUUAGGCAAAAACAACCAGCUUACCACUGGUAUAAGCCUGCAAAUACAGAAAUAUCUAAAGAGAACAGACUUUUUUUUGGAGAUUUGUGACCUAAUUUUAAUUAGACGCACUACCUAAUUUCACUCUGUUUUGGUUUAUUCAUUCUUGUUACGGGUCCACAUACUAUAUUACUCAAAGAAAAAAUUGGAACUUUUGUUUGUUUUUUAUGGGCUGGAAUCAUUGAUGUGUUUUGGAAUAUCACUGUGUCCUUUACUCAGGACAUACGACACAUGUUGUAGAUAACAGAAUCCGCUGGACCUUGUUUAAGAGAAAGAGACUUAAUUUAGGGAAUGGGAAGGGCAGGAGCAGGUUCUAAGCCAAAUUUUCAGGAACUGUCACGGAAUGGCCUACCUAGGGAGCCGCUGCCUUUUCUUUUUUUUUUUGAGGAAGAUUAUCCCUGAGCUAACUACUGCCAAUCCUCCUC